UACGGAGGGGGCUAGCGUUGUUCGGAAUUACUGGGCGUAAAGCGCACGUAGGCGGACAUUUAAGUCAGGGGUGAAAUCCCAGAGCUCAACUCUGGAACUGCCUUUGAUACUGGGUGUCUGGAGUAUGGAAGAGGUGAGUGGAAUUCCGAGUGUAGAGGUGAAAUUCGUAGAUAUUCGGAGGAACACCAGUGGCGAAGGCGGCUCACUGGUCCAUUACUGACGCUGAGGUGCGAAAGCGUGGGGAGCAAACAGG
rnacentral:rRNA from 1 species